AGUGGAGAAUUCUGCACGCGGAGCUCGCGGGUGACUCUGGCCCCGCUCGGAGUCCCGGGACGCGGGGACCCCCGCUGAGCGCACGGACUCCGAGCCCUCUCCCCGGGCCGGGCGCACGGAGACCCGGCACUCCUGGGGCGCAGACGCUCCCCUCCCCUGUCCCGGCUGCGGGGCGCCCCUUCCCCUCCGGUGCGCUCGGACCCCCCAGGCAUUGCACGGGCCCCCUGCCCCCGGGGGUAGCCUGAGUCUCUCCUCCCGGGCGCACGGACCGAGUCCUUGGGCAGAUGGAGAAGGGGAAGCUGGGGGCGCUGCUGGAGCAGCCGCCGCGGACGGUGAGCUGCAAUGGGUACGCGCUGGAGGAGAAGAAGCAGCAGCCGGCUCCGAGCCGGGCCCUGGAGAAGCCCCGCUACUCGCAGGGCACCAGCUCGCAGUGCCUGGACAACUGGAAGGAGGAGAGGACCCGCAGCGAGGAGGAUAACGAGAUGAACCUGCCCAGCCUGGCCGCCGCCUACACCACCAUCCUGCGCUCGCUGGGCGAGGACCCCGAGCGGCAGGGACUGCUCAGGACCCCUUGGAGGGCAGCCACCGCCAUGCAGUUCUUCACCAAGGGCUACCAGGAAACCAUCUCAGAUGUUCUGAAUGAUGCCAUAUUUGAUGAAGAUCAUGAUGAGAUGGUAAUUGUGAAGGACAUAGACAUGUUCUCAUUGUGUGAACAUCACCUGGUUCCAUUCGUUGGAAAGGUACAUAUAGGUUAUCUUCCUAACAAACAAGUUCUUGGUCUCAGCAAGCUUGCUAGGAUUGUGGAGAUAUACAGUAGAAGACUACAGGUUCAGGAGCGCCUUACAAAACAAAUUGCAGUAGCCAUCACAGAAGCCUUGCAGCCUACUGGAGUUGGAGUGGUUAUCGAAGCGACACACAUGUGCAUGGUAAUGCGUGGGGUGCAGAAGAUGAACAGCAAAACGGUCACUAGCACAAUGUUGGGUGUAUUCCGGGAGGAUGCAAAGACUCGGGAAGAGUUCUUAACCCUCAUCCGAAGCUGAAGCUUUGCCACUCGCCGAAUGCUCUCUGCAGAUCACGCUGUCCGUGCCGCUGUCUGUUAACUCUUUGUGCAGCUCGUUUUUAACUAAGUCGUGCGUUCUAAUAUGUGCAGUGAAAUAAUUUUGAUGGAUAAAGUCCACGUUACACCACCACGCUUCAUUGUCUACGUCAUCGUGAUCUGUAGUCCUUGAAACAUACCUCUAUGUACAUGUGGCCUUGGAUUUUGUUCGGAUUUUUGUAGGAUUUGGUGCAUUUUGGAACACUGACUCCAAUGAAUUUUAACUACAUCCAGUGUAUGUAUGUACACUACACAGUCUGCUGUUGUACCCCAUAAAAGUCUAUUGAGUUUAAAACAUUACAGUAUUAUCCUUUGGAAUGUAUUAGUGUGACUUGCAACUGUGUGAGAUUACACCAUCCAGCCUGUACGCAAAGCAACCGCAUAAAUAUAAACAAGGGACAGAGGGGUAGGGUGUUCUCCAGCUUUGGCAAAUCUUUUUAGGAGGAGGAUUGAAGCUACAGCUGCAGCUGCUGUUUCCAUCUGGCUUAGGCCUUGCUUUCUUUUCCCACCACCUCCUCCAUUGGGACUACCCCUGCAAUCUGUUCAGGCUUAGUACCUGCCUCGCUGUGCCGCUAGAGACCACAGCUCUGGCUUCCUACCCCCUCACGACACAGGCCACCCUUCCUUUAGAGUCAGACUUCCUCAUGUCUCCGAGGCAAUGCCUGAAAGCCACAACAUGGUCUCUCCCCUGCUGAGUGUUCUGCCUUUUCCCUUCCUCGCAAUCCAGAAGUCUGAGCCUCGGUUCGUCUUAACUUUCAUCACUUUAAUUCAAACAGCCUGACAAAACCAAAAUAGCAUCUGCCACACCAGCUAGCCGUGGGAACUACUUUUGCUGAGAAGGCAGCAGGGCCACCCUUAGGCAUACGCAGCUGUGUAGGGCACCAUGAAAUUUGGAGCACUGAAUUUAAUGGUGCCCUCGGCAGCUGCAUGCUGCAUACGUGGCAGCACCAGCUCUGGCAACCAGCCCUAUCCCUUGGCCGGCCCCCCCUGCAAGGGACAGGGCCGUCCCUAAGGGAGUAUGGGGCCCCGGACACCUCCUUCCGCCCUGCCUCUUACCCUUCCCCCCUGCUCCACCUCCGGGCCACCUCCAUUCCACCUCUUCCCCCAGUGACCCCACACUCACCAGCAGUGGUGGGAAGUGGAGCAACCCGGCCCCAGCCUGCUCUACUCUGCCAGCGCCCAACCACGGCGCUCUGCUUCCUGCUGCCAGU